UGUGUGUGUGUUUGAGUGUUUGGCUCACACAUUGGUAAUGGAGAGAAAUGACACCAUCAUGGCAGAAUAUUCUCUCCCUCCUCCUUGUCUUAGUAGGGCAAGACUUGUGUGUGUGUGUGUGAAUAUGUGUGUGUUUGUGUGUGUGUGUGUGUGUGUG